rnacentral:rRNA from 1 species
UACGGAGGGUGCAAGCGUUAUCCGGAUUUACUGGGUUUAAAGGGUGUGUAGGCGGGCUUUUAAGUCAGUGGUGAAAUCUCCGGGCUCAACCUGGAAACUGCCAUUGAUACUAUUAGUCUUGAAUUCUGUUGAGGUAGGCGGAAUAAGUCAUGUAGCGGUGAAAUGCUUAGAUAUGACUUAGAACACCAAUUGCGAAGGCAGCUUACUAAACAGAUAUUGACGCUGAGGCACGAAGCGUGGGGAUCAAACAGG